rnacentral:rRNA from 1 species
AAGCGUGGGGAGCAAACAGGAUUAGAUUCCCUGGUAGUCCACGCCGUAAACGAUGUCGAUUUGGAGGUUGUGCCCUUGAGGCGUGGCUUCCGGAGCUAACGCGUUAAAUCGACCGCCUGGGGAGUACGGCCGCAAGGUUAAAACUCAAAUGAAUUGACGGGGGCCCGCACAAGCGGUGGAGCAUGUGGUUUAAUUCGAUGCAACGCGAAGAACCUUACCUGGUCUUGACAUCCACAGAACUUUCCAGAGAUGGAUUGGUGCCUUCGGGAACUGUGAGACAGGUGCUGCAUGGCUGUCGUCAGCUCGUGUUGUGAAAUGUUGGGUUAAGUCCCGCAACGAGCGCAACCCUUAUCCUUUGUUGCCAGCGGUCCGGCCGGGAACUCAAAGGAGACUGCCAGUGAUAAACUGGAGGAAGGUGGGGAUGACGUCAAGUCAUCAUGGCCCUUACGACCAGGGCUACACACGUGCUACAAUGGCAUAUACAAAGAGAAGCGACCUCGCGAGAGCAAGCGGACCUCAUAAAGUAUGUCGUAGUCCGGAUUGGAGUCUGCAACUCGACUCCAUGAAGUCGGAAUCGCUAGUAAUCGUAGAUCAGAAUGCUACGGUGAAUACGUUCCCGGGCCUUGUACACACCGCCCGUCACACCAUGGGAGUGGGUUGCAAAAGAAGUAGGUAGCUUAACCUUCGGGAGGGCGCUUACCACUUUGUGAUUCAUAACUGGGGUGAA